rnacentral:rRNA from 1 species
UACAGAGGUCUCAAGCGUUGUUCGGAUUCAUUGGGCGUAAAGGGUGCGUAGGCGGCGGGGUAAGUCUGGUGUGAAAUCUCGGAGCUCAACUCCGAAAUUGCACUGGAUACUGCUCUGCUUGAGGGUUGGAGAGGAGAUCGGAAUUCACGGUGUAGCAGUGAAAUGCGUAGAUAUCGUGAGGAAGACCAGUGGCGAAGGCGGAUCUCUGGACAAAUCCUGACGCUGAGGCGCGAAGGCUAGGGGAGCAAACGGG